rnacentral:rRNA from 1 species
GAUGAACGCUGGCGGCGUGCCUAAUACAUGCAAGUCGAGCGAACGGACGAGAAGCUUGCUUCUCUGAUGUUAGCGGCGGACGGGUGAGUAACACGUGGAUAACCUACCUAUAAGACUGGGAUAACUUCGGGAAACCGGAGCUAAUACCGGAUAAUAUUUUGAACCGCAUGGUUCAAAAGUGAAAGACGGUCUUGCUGUCACUUAUAGAUGGAUCCGCGCUGCAUUAGCUAGUUGGUAAGGUAACGGCUUACCAAGGCAACGAUGCAUAGCCGACCUGAGAGGGGGAUAGGACACACUGGAACUGAGACACGGUCCAGAAUCCUACGAGAGGCAGCAGUAGGGAAUCUUACGCAAUGGGCGAAAGAAUGACGGAGCAACGCCGCGUGAGUGAUGAAGGUCUUCGGAGCGUAAAAAUCUGUUAUUAGGGAAGAACAUAUGUGAAAGUAACAGUGCAAAUAUUGACGGUACAUAAUAAGAAAGCCACGGCUAACUACGUG